rnacentral:misc_RNA from 1 species
GGACAACGCCAACGAGCUCUCGAAGGACCUGACGCUCGCGAUGAACAAGGCGCGCCAGGCCCAGAUCACCAGCGAGAUAAGCGAGAUCGCGGCGGGCGCCGAAGCCCUGUCCGCCGGCUAGGAGAAGGAGUUUUUAUGACCGAGAGCGAAAGCGGCCAGUCUUUCCACCGCUCGACGUUCGGCGGGCAGCGGGGCGAGAUAGGCAACGGCCAGACCGAGACGCAACGCGAGGGCCAACAGGACGGCCACGAAGAAGGGCGCGAGGGCGUCGGCACCGUGGUCGAGGUGAAGGGGCAGGUAGGUGACGU